GCUGAGGUAUGAUAGAAUCGUAUAAGAUAGGAACGGCUAAGAUAGCAUUAGGUAGGAUAGCAACGGGUAAGCUAAGAAAGAAUAGGAUAUGGUAUGAUGAAAAUGGCAAAGAUAUGAUAGGAUAAGGUGGUAUAGGAACGGCUAAUAUGAGAUAGAAUAAGAUAAGGUAGGAUAAAAAUGGCUAAGGUAUGAUAGAAUAGGCCAAGAUAGGAUAGGAAUGGCGAAGGUAAGAUAGAAUAGGAUAAGGUAGGAUAGGAAUGGUUAAGGUAAGAUAGAAUAGCAUGUGGUAGGAUUAGAAUGGGUAAGAUAGGAUGGAAUAGAAUAAGGUAACAUAUGAAUGGCUAAGAUAUGAUAGAAUAGAAUAAGGUAGGAUAGUAAUGGCUAAAGGUAAUAUAGAAUAGGAUAAGGUAGCAUAGGAACGGCUAAGAUAUGAUAAAAUAAGCUGGUUAGGAAAGAGUAAUAUGAGAUAGAAUAGUAUAAGGUAGGAUUGGAAUGAUUAGGGCAAGAUAGAAUAGGAUGUGGUAGGAUAAGAAUGUGUAGUAUAGGAUAAGAUAGGAUAGGAACGGCUAAGAUAUAAUAGAAUAGGAUAAGGUAGGAUAGGAUGUGGUAGGAUUAGAAUGGGUAAGAUAGGAUGGAAUAGGAUGAGGUAGGAAAGGAACGUGUAAGAUAUGGUAGAAUAUGCUAAGGUAGGAUAGGAAUGGUUAAGGUAAGAUAGAAUAGGAGAAGGUAGCAUAGGAAUGGCUAAGGUAAGAUAGAAUAGGAUAAGGUAGCAUAGGAACGGCUAAGAUAUGAUAGAAUAAGCUGGUUAGGAAAGAGUAAUAUAAGAUAGAAUAGGAUGAGGUAUGAUAGGAACAGCUGAGGUAUGAUAGAAACGUAUAAGACAGGCAUGGCUAAGAUAUUAUUAGGUAGGAUAGCAAUGGGUACGCGAAGAUAGAAUAGGAUGUGGUAGGAUGAAAAUGGCAAAGAUAUGAUAGGAUAAGGUAGUAUAGGAACGGCUAAUAUGAGAUAGAAUAAGAUAAGAUAGGAUAAAAAUGGCUAAGUUAUGAUAGAAUAGGCCAAGAUAGGAUAGGAAUGGCUAAGGUAAGAUAGAAUAGGAUAAGGUAGGAUAGGAAUGGUUAAGGUAAGAUAGGAUAGGAUGUGGUAGGAUAAGAAUGUGUAAGAUAGGAUAAGGUAGGAUAGGAACGGCUAAGAUAUAAAAGAAUAGGAUAAGGUAGAAUAGGAAUGCCAAUUGUAAGAUAGAAUAGCAUGUGGUAGGAUUAGAAUGGGUAAGAUAGGAUGGAAUAGAAUAAGGUAGCAUAUGAACGGCUAAGAUAUGAUAGAAUAGAAUAAGGUAGGAUAGCAAUGGCUGAAGGUAAUAUAGAAUAGGAUAAGGUAGCAUAGGAACGGCUAAGAUAUGAUAGAAUAUGCUGGUUAGUAAAGAGUAAUUUAAGAUAGAAUAGUAUAAGGUAGGAUUGGAAUGACUAGGGCAAGAUAGAAUAGGAUGUGGUAGGAUAAGAAUGUGUAAGAUAGGAUAAGGUAGGUUAGGAACGGCUAAGGUAUGAUAUAAUCGGAUUAAAUAGGAACGGCUAAGAGCAUUAGGUACGAUAGCAACGGGUAAGCUAAGAUUGAAUAGGAUAUGGUUCGAUGAAAAUGGCAAAGGCAUGAUAGGAUAAGGUAGUAUAGGAACGGCUAAUAUGAGAUAGAAUAAGAUAAGAUAGGAUAAAAAUGGCUAAGGUAUGAUAGAAUAGGCCAAGAUAGGAUAGGAAUGGCUAAGGUAAGAUAGAAUAGGAUAAGGUAGGAUAGGAAUGGUUAAGGUAAGAUAGGAUAGGAUGUUGUAGGAUAAGAAUGUGUAGGAUAGGAUAAGAUAGGAUAGGAACGGCUAAGAUAUAAUAGAAUAGGAUAAGAUAGGAUAGGAAUGCCAAAUGUAAGAUAGAAUAGGAUGUGGUAGGAUUAGAAUGGGUAAGAUAGGAUGGAAUAGGAUAA